rnacentral:lncRNA from 1 species
GAAAGCUCAAAACUAAAUAAGACACAACUUUUAUCCUCAAAUAGCUUAUAGCUCCAGUAGAGAAUAUGUAUAUAAAUCAAAGUUCAAACCAGUGUGGCAGUUUUACAACAUGGCCCCCAAUUUUUUUGAUACUUCUCCCACUGAGAGGUGGGGUCUAUACCACCACAUCUUGAAUCUGGAUGGACUUGCAACUACCUCAGCCAUGCAAGUAUGAGGAAAGAGAAACUGUGUCAUAGAAGACGGUGCAGCUUCUGCCAAGUUCUUUUGGAAUGCUUGCUGGAAUGCUUGCUCUUCUGGAAGGCUCCCUCUCAGGACCCAGCUGCCACGCUGUGAGAAGUCCAAGCCACAGAAAAUCAAGGUUACCUCGCCUGCAUUCUGUUAUACCUUCUUCAGCGGGAGAGAAGGUGGUGGCGUUAUGGCAUACCUGCCCAGAAUAACCAACGACCUGAGGCGGUUCAAGAAUUCGCUCUGGACAGAGGCAUAUGUAUCAUCCACCCUUUCCAUACUGAAGAAAACAGAUUCAGAGGAAAACUCCAGAUCAUGCAGCAUAAGUGAAAGCUGACUACAGACUGAAGUUCUCAUCAUGAAAUCGUGCUGCAUUUUCCUCAGAAAAUGAAGUAUGGAAGCUGCAAUGAUACCUGUAAACUAUCGAGAGAAAACAGACAAAAACAGGGCUUUGUCCUUGAUCGGCUAAAUAAUUCAAAAUAAAGACUCCUUUUCACCUGAAGUAGUGGGGCUAAUUAGAGCCUAAAAUAGGUUUGGCUUCAGUUAUCUAGAUAAUCUACUUGUUUGUUUAUUUAGUCUGAAAUUAGAAGCUUAAAAAUGAAUCAACUUUCAAGUGAAAACAAAAAGACUUUGAAAACUAUCUUCCAAAAGAGUUUGAAUUUAAAAUGACCUCUUUGGGUGGCCUAUUUGUAAAUAUACUAAAUAAAUAUUGGUCUUAUUUACUUUAGAUUUGCACAUCAAAACUUAGAAAUAUUAGUAAAUUCAAGAGCACCUUCCUAACCUACCUAUCGCAAAUUCACUUUCUUGACCAAUUUCACACAAACGCACAUACACAUGUGCCCCAUCCUUCUGCACCUUGGUCCCGUUCUCAGGCAAGUACUAAGAACAACCCGUGCUAUGUAGGACUAUGAGUCUCCAUUUUGUCUGGACAUUAGGAUCACAUGGGGAGCCAACACUCAGGAUACACUAAACACCAAUUAAAUCCAAGUCUCUACAACUGGGACCCAAGCAGCAUGUUUGUAAAACUCCCCAGGUGAAUCCAAUCUACAGUCAAGGUUGAGAGCCACUGUUUUAAGAGUUGGAUAAUUUUCCUACAAAGCAGCCUGGAAAAGACAGAUCAAAAGCACCCAACUCUUGGGGCCAGCUCCAAUGAACAUAUUCAGUAUUUCAAGAGAUGGGCAGCAAUACAUAUAGUUAAGUAGAAAUUGCUAGGCAAAAAUUGUCAUAUAUAGAAGGCACUUGAACUGAGAUGAAAUAUACAAAUGAUGAGAGGAGACGGCAGCCUUUGUCUCUGGACAUAGACGUACUUUAAGUGAAGAUACGCACAGCUGUGUACCUGGACUCAGAGGUUCUGAGAGGAGGGCGCAAUGGUUCCUUGAGAGAAGAAAAGUCGAAAGAAAAGUGAGAGAGAGGAUGAGAGAGCUAAUAAACGUGUUGGAGAAACAGCAACUCUAGUCUACAGGAUA